CCACGCCCUAGUGGCGCCGGAGGAAGGAGCUGGCCUGUCAGCUCCUAAGGGGAGCAGUGCCAGGCCCUAUGGAGGCUCAGGUUGUCCCCAGCCCAAAGCCACCACACCCGGGACAUAAUAGCACCGGGGUCUGUUACAAUAGGAAGUACUAUUUUAAAAGAAACUACCCUCUUAAUUCAUGGGGAUGAUGAAUGUUACUCUGGUCCACAGCCUCGAUUGCCUAGGCUUUUAUGCACACAGGUGCCUAAAUGACAUUAUAAAUAAAUAAAUAAAAUUCAGGGUUUUGUUUUUUUUUUUUUUUUUUUUUUUUUUUUUUGAGAAAGGCAUAGCCACUUACACAAUGCUCAGCAAUGUGAAGGGACCCCCUGAUCUUGCUGCACCUAAUUACUGAGCACUGACUCAACCCCAAGGUAAAAAUUCCCUCCAUUGUACAGCUCACCAUAAAAUAGGUUUAAGACGGUCAUUACAGCUUUAAAGAUAAAAUUAUGCAUCUGCUUUUCUGAAAUUACCUUGAAUAUUGGCUUUGUUUUUCUCAAGAAGAUGUCUACAUCAACAUGAGAGGUGUGGUGGCCCCAAGAACUUGGGCCACCAAUUCUCCAAAUCAGAAGCAGGACCCCUCUCUAAUCAUCGCCACCAAAUGCCCUGGACCACCCUCCUAAUGUUCCUUGUUUCAACAGAGCCCAGGGAAUGAUGGGAUACCAAGAAAAGAUGCCCAGGUCCUGUCCCAGCGCAAACGCUGCUCUUCUUUCCCCAUCAAGGACCUGACAUUGGCCUUGCACUAUUGAAACUCGCACUCACAUCAACUGAUCUCACACCGCAGAGCCAUAGGCCCCAAAGAGAACCCUCUCCACUGAAGAACUUCAAGGUCCUGAAGAUAAAAAAUAAAAGCAAUAAUAUUAUUUUCAAACAUCAAUAUUUUCAAUUUGAAAAUGUCAACUGGAGAUUAGCUGAGUCAACACACCGGACAAAAACAGUUUUCAAGCUGGUUAGGAGAAAAGAGGAGGAGGCCUACGAAGCUGAAGUGCACAGAGCCCACAGAAAUCUCAAUGCACACAAGUUCUCAAAGUCCAUGUUCGUCCCAGGCAUAACUCCACAAGACAGUCCAAAGAGAUACUCUUAAAAGCACGCUGUGUCUAUGUAUCUUCCAUCAGUCAUCAGAUGUUCCAGAGUGCUCCAAUGUGGGUGUGUAAGAGAGAACUACAUGUACCCUAACACCUGUCCAACACUGAUAGGAACAUGUUAAAUCUCAGCCUGAAGCAAGCUUUCACGGUUAUAUAAUAAAAGCCCUUUUUAAAGAGUUGAUAAUUGAGACACUAACACCAUUUUAAUUAGGGUGGCACAACUAGUCACUGAUUAUACCUGUGGGAAAUAAUGGGUACGAAAAUGUCACAUGGGCUGUAAUUAUAUUGAAAGCUUCUGGUGACUGGUGACAUGACAGAUGUGAGAAUGAGGCCCUGCUGCUCUGCUCAUGACGUCAUCUGAACACUGCUAAAUGCAUGUGUGGCUCUGGGUGCUCUUACUCAUCACAGACAAUCCAGUUCCUGGUUUCCUAUUUACAAAGGGCAGGCAGAGGAAGGGACCAGAG
rnacentral:lncRNA from 1 species